rnacentral:lncRNA from 1 species
GGGGGGUUGUGAAUGUGUUUGAGAUGACAAUUAAACUAAAUUAAAGCAUGGAAAUUAAACACAACCGAAUAUAAUUAAAAGCAUUUAAAUAAAUGAACAAGAAGAAAGACCGAACGGUCCUACAAAUGACCGAAUGGUUCUACAUUGAGACCGAGCGAUCUCUAAAGCAAGUGGAGAAGUCAGAAAAGUAGGAAGAUAAAGAAACGCAAUAGAAUAAACACCGUAGUGAACUGAAACAAUAAACUGAACGUAACAGACAACAUUAUGAACGAAUAAAGUAAACUGAACAAUGCAAUAGAUAAACAUCCCAACACAACCAAAGCUAAUAAAAUGCAAUGCUUGAACUAAAAAGAAUUGAAAGACAACUAAAGUAAACAAAUAUGAAACACUAGAAAUAAAAGAGGAAAAUCACAUUGUAGCGGGAAUUUAAAUUACAAAAACCAUUAACCAUUUAGGAUGCAGCAGAAGUAAAGUGCCAAAUUGUUCAACCAAUGCAUGAAAUGCCAAAGAAACCGCGGGAAUCAAAUUAACCUUAAAAAAGAAGAAGUCUUAAACGCUUUGACUUGAAAUAAAAGAAAUGCAACGUUCAACACAAGCACAAUGCAACUUCAAAGCAUAAAUGCAUCUUCCAUGAAUUAUAAAAAGAAAGCAACUAUUAAAUUAAAGAAAAAUUAUGUGAGACUGAUUGUAUUAAAUAAGAGAAAACCGAAUAACAAACAUGAAACUCUAAGCAAAGUGAAAUGAUAAGCAUCUAUCUCUUGCUGAAAGCAACUAUGUGCUGACCCGCUAAAUGAGAUAUAAAUCUCCUUUCUCUAACGCAAAUGGCGGCUACAGCUUCUACAAGAAAAGAGAUUAAAACUCUACUUCACAUCUCCAUCCAUAACUCUCCAAACUUCAGAAAAUAAAACAACCUCCAAGCUAUCUACUACCCUC